GUCGCUUCUCUCUCUCUUGCGUACACCGUAUUCUCAGUGCUUUCUCUCCCGAGGGUUGCGCGAUUAGGGAUGGCUAGGUCCAAUGGCAGUCUACAAUCGAAGAGGGGUGCGUCCGGCCAUCUAUUCGCGCCGCCGAUACCAUCCUCGGCCGGUGCUCACAGAGUGCACUCGGCGGCUAGGCCCUUCAAGCGCCGCGCUGGUGGCCGUCAGCCGCCCUCCACGACGGGUGGUGCAUUUGACUGGGAAUCUGGGAUGCGAACAGGGUAGCUUCUAGGGUCUCCGCAAGGCGACGAGCGGUGCACCGGUGGGCACAACGAGCGGUUCGUGAUGCAUUGGGUGUGGCGGCGGCCGGAGUUGCUUCCCAGGUUUCUUCUAGGCGGCGGUUGGCGCAGAGGUGGGCUCACCGUGGUUGACUAGCUUGCCUCUUUCCUUGAAAUCAACAACCAGCCAAUUCAUGCAGUUAUGAUCCGCAACAUGGAACCGAAGAAGAUGCAAAUAGUAUGGCGGGAUACAACUAACAAGUAUGACUCCAGAGUGUACGCGAUGCGUCAUAUGGAGUCAUUCACUGGACAAGAUUGUGUAGAAUGGGAGUGUGGGUUGAUAAAAGGGGACACAGAACAACUUCAAAACCUUCAAAAGCGUUUCAUGCAUAACAUUAUUAUGUCGGAUGUAAAUGAGCACAAGCCAUCAGUAUCUACUCACGUUGCACAGUAUGACCGUGAAAGGUCAGGCAAGGCUACCUAGCACAAUCGGAACACUACAACACUAUGUUUUUAUGGUUUUGACUAGUUUUUGGAUAGUACAUCAAUGUUGUUUUAUUUAAACUUGGGUACUGAUUCGAUUUGUUAGCAUCCUACCGUAACAAUUAUUUUCUAUCUACUCAACUACAUGUAGCAGGAAACUAUUUGGGCUUUGGCGCACAAAUUAAAUUUUGUUGCACUAAGCGUGUUUGUGUGUGUGUGUGUGUGUGUGAGCUGCAUGAGCUGCCGUGAUAAUUCAUCUUAUUGAACAAGGAGAA